CGCUGGCGGCAGGCCUAACACAUGCAAGUCGAACGGUAACAGGAAGCAGCUUGCUGCUUUGCUGACGAGUGGCGGACGGGUGAGUAAUGUCUGGGAAACUGCCCGAUGGAGGGGGAUAACUACUGGAAACGGUAGCUAAUACCGCAUAACGUCGCAAGACCAAAGAGGGGGACCUUCGGGCCUCUUGCCAUCGGAUGUGCCCAGAUGGGAUUAGCUAGUAGGUGGGGUAAAGGCUCACCUAGGCGACGAUCCCUAACUGGUCUGAGAGGAUGACCAGCCACACUGGAACUGAGACACGGUCCAGACUCCUACGGGAGGCAGCAGUGGGGAAUAUUGCACAAUGGGCGCAAGCCUGAUGCAGCCAUGCCGCGUGUAUGAAGAAGGCCUUCGGGUUGUAAAGUACUUUCAGCGGGGAGGAAGGGAGUAAAGUUAAUACCUUUGCUCAUUGACGUUACCCGCAGAAGAAGCACCGGCUAACUCCGUGCCAGCAGCCGCGGUAAUACGGAGGGUGCAAGCGUUAAUCGGAAUUACUGGGCGUAAAGCGCACGCAGGCGGUUUGUUAAGUCAGAUGUGAAAUCCCCGGGCUCAACCUGGGAACUGCAUCUGAUACUGGCAAGCUUGAGUCUCGUAGAGGGGGGUAGAAUUCCAGGUGUAGCGGUGAAAUGCGUAGAGAUCUGGAGGAAUACCGGUGGCGAAGGCGGCCCCCUGGACGAAGACUGACGCUCAGGUGCGAAAGCGUGGGGAGCAAACAGGAUUAGAUACCCUGGUAGUCCACGCCGUAAACGAUGUCGACUUGGAGGUUGUGCCCUUGAGGCGUGGCUUCCGGAGUUAACGCGUUAAGUCGACCGCCUGGGGAGUACGGCCGCAAGGUUAAAACUCAAAUGAAUUGACGGGGGCCCGCACAAGCGGUGGAGCAUGUGGUUUAAUUCGAUGCAACGCGAAGAACCUUACCUGGUCUUGACAUCCACGGAAGUUUUCAGAGAUGAGAAUGUGCCUUCGGGAACCGUGAGACAGGUGCUGCAUGGCUGUCGUCAGCUCGUGUUGUGAAAUGUUGGGUUAAGUCCCGCAACGAGCGCAACCCUUAUCCUUUGUUGCCAGCGGUCCGGCCGGGAACUCAAAGGAGACUGCCAGUGAUAAACUGGAGGAAGGUGGGGAUGACGUCAAGUCAUCAUGGCCCUUACGACCAGGGCUACACACAUGCUACAAUGGCGCAUACAAAGAGAAGCGACCUCGCGAGAGCAAGCGGACCUCAUAAAGUGCGUCGUAGUCCGGAUUGGAGUCUGCAACUCGACUCCAUGAAGUCGGAAUCGCUAGUAAUCGUGGAUCAGAAUGCCACGGUGAAUACGUUCCCGGGCCUUGUACACACCGCCCGUCACACCAUGGGAGUGGGUUGCAAAAGAAGUAGGUAGCUUAACCUUCGGGAGGGCGCUUACCACUUUGUGAUUCAU
rnacentral:rRNA from 1 species